GUGGGGAAUAUUGGACAAUGGGCGAAAGCCUGAUCCAGCCAUGCCGCGUGUGUGAAGAAGGUCUUCGGAUUGUAAAGCACUUUAAGUUGGGAGGAAGGGCAGUAAGUUAAUACCUUGCUGUUUUGACGUUACCAACAGAAUAAGCACCGGCUAACUUCGUGCCAGCAGCCGCGGUAAUACGAAGGGUGCAAGCGUUAAUCGGAAUUACUGUGCGUAAAGCGCGCGUAGGUGGUUCAGCAAGUUGGAGGUGAAAUCCCCGGGCGCAACCUGGGAACUGCCUCCAAAACUACUGAGCUAGAGUACGGUAGAGGGUAGUGGAAUUUCCUGUGUAGCGGUGAAAUGCGUAGAUAUAGGAAGGAACACCAGUGGCGAAGGCGACUACCUGGACUGAUACUGACACUGAGGUGCGAAAGCGUGGGGAGCAAACAGGAUUAGAAACCCCAGUAGUCC
rnacentral:rRNA from 1 species